CCUUGUACACACCGCCCGUCACACCAUGGGAGCUGACUCAACCAGAAGGCGGUCAGGCGAACCGUAAGGGCGCCUCCGACGAAGGUGGGGUUGGUGACUGGGGUG
rnacentral:rRNA from 1 species